rnacentral:lncRNA from 13 species
UACAUAUUCUUUAUCCCUUUACACUUGUGUGUGUAUAAGGUAGUAGUUUUGGAAUUGUUAGGCAAGAUUACUCGUUGGUUAUUACUGCAUUGUCGGAACUAGAAGCACAAGCAUUUCGCUACAGGAAUGACUAUGGUAGAAACAGGACCUGUCACUGGGCAGGGCAGGGACUCAGGGAGAAUGACUAUGGUAGAAACAGGACCUGUCACUGGGCAGGGCAGGGACUCAGGGAGAAUGACUAUGGUAGAAACAGGACCUGUCACUGGGCAGGGCAGGGCAGGGACUCAGGAGGAAUGACUAUGGUAGAAACAGGACCUGUCACUGGGCAGGGCAGGGACUCAGGGAGAAUGACUAUGGUAGAAACAGGACCUGUCACUGGGCAGGGCAGGGACUCAGGGAGAAUGACUAUGGUAGAAACAGGACCUGUCACUGGGCAGGGCAGGGCAGGGACUCAGGAGGAAUGACUAUGGUAGAAACAGGACCUGUCACUGGGCAG